UACGAAGGGGGCUAGCGUUGCUCGGAAUUACUGGGCGUAAAGCGCACGUAGGCGGCUUUCUAAGUCGGGGGUGAAAUCCUGGAGCUCAACUCCAGAACUGCCUUCGAUACUGCGGUGCUUGAGGACUGGAGAGGAGACUGGAAUUCAUGGUGUAGCAGUGAAAUGCGUAGAGAUCAUGAGGAAGACCAGUGGCGAAGGCGGGUCUCUGGACAGUUCCUGACACUGAGACACGAAGGCCAGGGGAGCAAACGGG
rnacentral:rRNA from 1 species